AUAACUCCGGGAAACCGGGGCUAAUACCGGAUGGUUGUUUGAACCGCAGGUUCAAACAUAAAAGGUGGCUUCGGCUACCACUUACAGAUGGACCCGCGGCGCAUUAGCUAGUUGGUGAGGUAACGGCUCACCAAGGCAACGAUGCGUAGCCGACCUGAGAGGGUGAUCGGCCACACUGGGACUGAGACACGGCCCAGACUCCUACGGGAGGCAGCAGUAGGGAAUCUUCCGCAAUGGACGAAAGUCUGACGGAGCAACGCCGCGUGAGUGAUGAAGGUUUUCGGAUCGUAAAGCUCUGUUGUUAGGGAAGAACAAGUACCGUUCGAAUAGGGCGGUACCUUGACGGUACCUAACCAGAAAGCCACGGCUA
rnacentral:rRNA from 1 species